rnacentral:misc_RNA from 1 species
UUUCCGUUGGUGAACCUGCGGAAGGAUCAUUAUCGUACAAAAUGUGAGGGGCAUGCGAGGGCUGUCGCUGACCCAAAAGUCGUGCACGCCCGAGUGUGUCCUCUUGCAUAAUAAUCCAUCUCACCCUUUGUGCAUCACCGCGUGGGCACCCUUCGGGAUCAUCUCGGGGGGGGGCUCGCGUUUUCACACAAACCCCCCUUUUAAAAGUGUAGAAUGACCACAUUUAUGCAAUCAAUACAACUUUCAACAACGGAUCUCUUGGCUCUC